AAGCAGUGGAAUCAACGUACGAGGCGUAAAUUUUUUCUUCCUGUAAACAACGGUUAUCUUGAUUUGGCUGUAGCUAUACACGGUAUCACUCCUGACUCAAACGCGACAAACACUUUUCGCUUUCCUUUAUGUGGACCCUACACAUACUAUCGUAAAAUUAAUGGAACAUUGAACUGCACGUGUAUG